AAUCGCUAGUAAUCGCGGAUCAGCACGCCGCGGUGAAUACGUUCCCGGGCCUUGUACACACCGCCCGUCACACCAUGAGAGUCUGUAACACCCAAAGCCGGUGGGAUAACCUUUAUAGGAGUCAGCCGUCUAAGGUAGGACAGAUGAUUAGGGUGAAGUCGUAACAAGGUAAC
rnacentral:rRNA from 1 species